GUUGGUCUCCGGGUUUCCCAACCGGUGCACUCCCGAUGGAUAGAGACUCCUUGGUGAGGAUAGAGAGCUCCGUGAUCAUAUCCCCGAGCGGCUUUUGAUCAAGGAACUGUUGCAGUGGACUAUAUGGCUCCGGGUUUGCCUUCAAAUGGAGCUUCAAAGCCGCCUCUGUAAGCGCAACUUUCGCAGGUUGUCUGAUACAUAUAAAUAUGUCUUCAUGCAAAAUAAACGAACCACGGGCUGAUAGGACAAAAAGAGGGAUGAUAUAUGUUGGCGAUAAGAAGAGCGUGUCAGAACUUACUCCUCGAGUUUAGGGGCAUCCCCCGACUUUUCUUGACCGUUGCUCAACGCUACCAUAGUUGAAUGAUCUGAAACUAAAAAUAAAUAUAUGUAUAAAUAAAAAAAUUAAUACUUUGAAGGGUGGGGCGGUGUGUAGACAUCAAAAAUUCAAUCAGGAAUGUGCGCUGCUGCUACUCACUAGGUAUGAUAGAUUGGUUUGAG
rnacentral:sRNA from 2 species